UGGUGCCUGCGUGUGUGGAGUAAGGGUUAAUUUUGGUAUUUCGCCUUUUGCCUAGAACGAUCAAGAGGCGACGAUAGUCGUUUCUCCAGAAUUCACUCACGAAAUUGGUACUCUUUUUCCAGAUUUCACUGAGACGAUAGUCGUUUUUCCGAAAUUCACUCACGAAAUUGGUACUCUUUCCAGAUUUCACUGAUUUUUAGUACUGAUUCCUGAUUUUCCAGCGUAUUUUCUGGCCAUUUUCGUUGCUUUGUCGACAAGGUGAAAGUACCAAUCGACUGUUGUAUAUGGCAGAGAGAAGAUGAUGAAUGGAACCCGAGAAGCUGAAGUUGGAGACCCAAAUUGAUUCAUCGUGGCUUUGGGUUCUUCUUCCCUGUGAUAACAAAAUUGAAUGUUUUCUUUCUAGCCUUCAACGAAGAAAUCAUAUCCCAACGACUCGAUGAAUAUUGUUUGGAAUAAAUCAAUUUCAACUCGACGAACAACAUCGACACUGGGUUUUUUUCGACAGCCCUUGAAUCAAAUGGAAGCUAUGUUUCCCCUCAGGUUCAGUUGUGAAAAUUCCUCUAUGUCAUGAAGGAAAGCGUUGGGAGUUGAAUGGUUCAUCUCUGCGUGAUUCUCAAGUGAGAUUUCUGUGCUGGUUGUGUACUGGUUAUGGCUUCAAAGAGGAUCCAGAAGGAACUGAAGGGCCUGCAGAAGGAUCCUUCUGUUUCUUGUAGUGCUGGUUUGUUCUGUUGUUACAAACCUUUUAACAUAUACCAGCAGUACAAACGGUGAUAAAGGUGAUGGAAAACUAAGUUUUGUUAGGGGGCGGAGUGGUAUUUCACAGAAUGGGAGAUCGCAUGAAGUCACUUGUACAAGUGGAGAUGAUUCCAGUGAUACUUUAUACGAAGGAUCACCCAAGCAGGAGGGGGCUGAAAAAUUAUUCAUUGCAUCCAAUUCUGCUAUUAUAUGAGGAAGAAUAUGUCAGAACAUUGGCGGACGUACGUUGUUGAUUCGAAGUUGCGAUAAGGAGUUAAAUUCACAGAGCGAUGGCUAUGUUCCGUAUAUGGGGAAAAGAACACUGUUUUCAUGGCUUAUUGACUCUGGAGUGGUGCAUUUAAGUGAAAAAGUGCAGUACAUGAACCAAAGACGGACAAAGGCAAUCCUAGAGAGCUGGAUCACAAGAGACAGCAUACAUUGUGGUUGUGUUGCAAAAUCCUAUCAGUUUUGAAGUUUGAGAUUCAUGCCGGAAGCAAAUUGCGUCUGCCAUUCCAAAACAUCUAUUACGUAUUUGGAGUCUGGCAUUUCCCUUUUACAAUGCCAGAAAGAUGCAUGGAAUACACAGGAGGAAUCCAGACGCUUUGGUUUUCACACUGUGGACAAAAUUGGUGAUGAUACUUGUAGCCUCUGUGGUGAUGGUGGGGAUUUGAUGUGUUGUGAUGGUUGCCCUACAACAUUUCAUCAGAGCUGCUUAAUCAUAAAGAUGCUUCCCCAUGGUCAUCGGCAUCGUCCGAACUGUACAUGCAAAUUCUGUGGGAUUUCUUGUGAGACUACUGCUCCUUGGAAUGGUAAAACAGUCUAUGCACUUUAGACAUGCAGCCUGUUUGAGAAAAAGUGUAGUUAGCGUAACCCAGAUUUUAUGAAGUCAAGCUUUUGUGAUCACGUGAUAAGGACCAAUUUCUGUGUCCUCAGUAUUGGUUUUCUGAUUCAAAUAGACAGGACAAUUGAGCUGCUUCAUAUGAAUGGUACUUCCUAAUACGUUUUGAUGACUGAGUUUGGAAAAUCUUUCUGGUGUUCUCAAAUAUUACACCUUCAGAACAAUCUCUCAAUUUCACAAACAAUUUCCAAGUCCAAAAUUUCGCAAACAAUUUCCAAGUCCAACGAAAAAA